UCCUUAACUGACGCUAAUGCUCGAAAGUGCGGGUAUCGAACAGGAUUAGAUACCCUGGUAGUCCGCACGGUAAACGAUGGAUGCCCGCUGUUGGCGAUACAGUGUCAGCGGCCAAGCGAAAGCGUUAAGCAUCCCACCUGGGGAGUACGCCGGCAACGGUGAAACUCAAAGGAAUUGACGGGGGCCCGCACAAGCGGAGGAACAUGUGGUUUAAUUCGAUGAUACGCGAGGAACCUUACCCGGGCUUGAACUGCAGGAGAACGAUUCAGAGAUGAUGAGGUCCUUCGGGACUCCUGUGGAGGUGCUGCAUGGUUGUCGUCAGCUCGUGCCGUGAGGUGUCGGCUUAAGUGCCAUAACGAGCGCAACCCCUUUCUUCAGUUGCCAUCAGGUUAUGCUGGGCACUCUGGAGACACUGCCACCGUAAGGUGUGAGGAAGGUGGGGAUGACGUCAAAUCAGCACGGCCCUUACGUCCGGGGCUACACACGUGUUACAAUGGGUGGUACAGAGAGCGGGCUGCCUGCAAAGUCAGCCGAAUCAUGAAAGCCAUCCUCAGUUCGGAUUGGGGUCUGCAACCCGACCCCAUGAAGCUGGAUUCGCUAG
rnacentral:rRNA from 1 species